rnacentral:rRNA from 1 species
CCUACGGGAGGCAGCAGUGGGGAAUCUUGCGCAAUGGGCGAAAGCCUGACGCAGCAACGCCGCGUGCGGGAUGAAGGCCUUCGUGGUUGUAAACCGCUUUCAGCAGGGACGAAAAUGACGGUACCUGCAGAAGAAGCCCCGGCUAACUACGUGCCAGCAGCCGCGGUAAUACGUAGGGGGCAAGCGUUGUCCGGAAUCAUUGGGCGUAAAGAGCUCGUAGGCGGUUCAGUAAGUCAGGUGUGAAAGCUCCGAGCUCAACUCGGAGAGGCCACCUGAUACUGCUGUGACUAGAAUCCAGUAGGGGAGUGUGGAACUCCUGGUGUAGCGGUGAAAUGCGCAGAUAUCAGGAAGAACACCAGCGGCGAAGGCGGCACUCUGGGCUGGAAUUGACGCUGAGGAGCGAAAGUGUGGGUAGCAAACAGGAUUAGAUACCCUGGUAGUCCACACCGUAAACGUUGGGCACUAGGUGUGGGGAGGAUCAACCCUUUCCGUGCCGUAGCUAACGCAUUAAGUGCCCCGCCUGGGGAGGUACGGCCGCGAGGACGUAAACUUAAUAGAAGUAGACGGCGUGAGACGUCGCCGACGACGACGACGAGGGAGUUAGG